UACGUAGGGUGCGAGCGUUGUCCGGAAUUAUUGGGCGUAAAGAGCUUGUAGGCGGUUUGUCGCGUCUGCUGUGAAAAUCCGGGGCUCAACCCCGGACUUGCAGUGGGUACGGGCAGACUAGAGUGUGGUAGGGGAGACUGGAAUUCCUGGUGUAGCGGUGAAAUGCGCAGAUAUCAGGAGGAACACCGAUGGCGAAGGCAGGUCUCUGGGCCGAUACUGACGCUGAGGAGCGAAAGCAUGGGGAGCGAACAGG
rnacentral:rRNA from 1 species